CCGCCUCAAUCCCUUUCCCCCCUCUCCGCGCCUACAAAUACAUCAGCAUGUCUUUAGUACUGGUCGCGCUGUACAGUCAGCGGAGACGGCGAGCCUCUUAAUAUUCCGGUCACAACCCAGAGAGGGAGGGAGGGAAGGAGGGAGGGAGGAGGAACGAGUAGAGACGGAUAAAAAAAGGGAGGGUGAAAAGCCACUGAAAAAGAAUUACACUGAGAAGAUGAAAGAGGGAGAGGGAAGAGAAGAGAAGUAAAGGCUAUCCCCGUCGUUCGUCUCUCGCGCCCGGUCUACCCUUCACCACCUCCCCUCUCAGGGAAAGUUUCGGAGCCGACGAGCCGCGACCUCCGGGAGCCCUCCCGCCGUCUCCGCCACGCUUAGGAGCGAACGCCAGGAAGACCGGCGCGUUCAGAAGUAAAAAGCAAACAAGGAGCUACGCGACCCAGAAUCCACCUGUGCCGCAGUCCGAUGUCACGCUGAGAUUUUAAUCCCCUCAGAUAUUUUAUCUCCCCGGUUCCUGCAGGGCUGCCUCCGAUUCCGCCCUGCCUUUCGGGAAAAAAAACCGGAAAUUGAACGCGUUCGGAUGGCAAAGGAGGCCCGCUCUGGAGCGUAGAAGCUCGAAGCGUUCCGGCGAGACUUCGGCGGAAUAAGAGCGCGGCGAGCGCGUCCGAGGAGCCGCUCGGCCCGGAGCUAUGACCUGAUGAUCAUGGACGGCCCCGCCCAACAGUGCAUUCUCUCCUAAAACAGACACCCUGCUCUUGGUCCGGGGCGGAAGGGGAGCUGCGCUGCGAUUGGCCGCCUGAGGUGGGGAGUGCGAUGCUGAUUGGAGGAUGUCGGGGGACUGGGAUGAAGACCUGUGCAACAAGGCCCUGGUGCUGGCAGAGGAGCUGUGCUUCCACUCGCCCGGGGGGUACAGCCAGAACGAGCGCUGCCAGGAGCUCAGCGACAUACUGAGGGGCCGACACAGGCAGAUCGACACAGAGAUCUCCGUCAGCCUGCUCUCCGUCAUCGUGACGUUCUGCGGGAUUGUGCUGCUGUCCGUGUCCCUCUUUGUCUCCUGGAAGCUGUGCUGGUUGCCAUGGCGCGACAAGGAGGGCGGCGGCCUGAGCCUGACGUCGGGGCUCCUCCCCGGCGGGGGCGGGCUGGGGGGCGGGGCCUCCCUCCUGCCCCCCCUCCUGCAGAGGAAGGACACGCACUCGCCCUCCUCGCUCUACCCGUCCCUCUCCCAGCCGGCCCAGCACCACCCCCACUUCUCCGACAUGCUGGUGGUGGAGCGGGGCGAGGGCGGGGUCGGGGGCGGAGUCGGGGGCGUGGUCGGGGGCGUGAUCGGCGGCCCGGAGAGGACCCCCGUCGGAGGGGUGGUGGGGGGUCCGCAGGAGACGCAGGAGCACUCGUACCUGGACAUGGACUGCCACUCCAACCCGGCCGGGGGGGGUUUGAAGCUGAGCCAGACCUCCCCAGAGUUGCCCCCGGUGACAGAGACUAGCUCCGCCUCCCAAGCUCACAAAGACCUCCCCAAUGCUCAGUCACAGAUGCAGGUCUCUGCCCGGCCACGCCCCAUGACCCACCAGCUUUCCAGCCCUGAUUUCCAUGGUGAUGAGAAGACUGAACAGGUGACCAGCAUUGGGCAGAUCAAGCCAGAACUAUAUAGACUGCGUCAGGGGGAGCAGGGGGAAGGAAAACAGGGUGACAACUGUGGCAAGAUCAGCUUCCUUUUGCGCUACGCUUUCAACACUGAGCAGCUGGUGGUCAAGAUCCUGAAGGCACUGGACCUCCCGGCCAAAGACGCCAACGGGUUCUCGGACCCGUACGUGAAGAUCUACCUGCUGCCCGACCGAAAGAAGAAGUUCCAGACAAAGGUUCACAGGAAGACGCUAAAUCCCGUCUUCAACGAGACGUUCCAGUUCGGGGUCCCCCUGGCCGAGCUCCACUCCCGGAAGCUGCACUUCUCCGUCUACGACUUCGACCGGUUCUCCCGACACGACCUCAUCGGUCAGGUGGUGGUGGACAACCUGCUGGACUUCAGCGAGGGGACGGGGGAGAAGCCCGUCUGGAGGGACAUCGUGGAGGGGACGGCGGAGAAGGCCGACUUGGGAGAGCUGAACUUCUCUCUCUGCUAUCUGCCGACGGCCGGACGGCUGACCGCCACCGUCAUCAAGGCCACCAAUCUGAAAGCCAUGGACCUCACCGGCUUCUCCGACCCGUACGUAAAGGCCUCGCUGAUCUGCGAGGGCCGGAGGAUGAAGAAGAGGAAGACCUCCAUCAAGAAGAACACGCUCAACCCCACCUACAACGAGGCGCUGGUCUUCGACAUCCCCUACGAGAACAUCGACAGCGUGUCCCUCAUCAUCGCCGUCAUGGACUACGACUGCAUUGGUCAUAAUGAGGUCAUCGGAAUGUGCCGGGUGGGAAGUGACGCAGAGGGACCGGGUCGGGAGCACUGGGCGGCCAUGUUGGCCAACCCCCGCAAGCCAAUUGAGCACUGGCACCAGCUGGUGGAGGAGAAGACCAUGAACACGUAUGUGUCCAAGAGCGCCACCGCCUCCUCCAAGCCGCACAUCGUGGUGGACAGCCCCCACUCCGAGUAGAUCUGUGAGUGUUGUGAUUGACAGCCCCCACUCCGAGUAGAUCUGUGAGUGUUGUGAUUGACAGCCCCCACUCCGAGUAGAUCUGUGAGUGUUGUGAUUGACAGCCCCCACUCCGAGUAGAUCUGUGAGUGUUGUGAUUGACAGCCCCCACUCCGAGUAGAUCUGUGAGUGUCAUGAUUGACAGUCCCCACUCAGAGUAGAUCUGUGAGUGUUGUGAUUGACAGUCCCCACUGGCAGUCUCUCUCUCCCAUGCACUGAUUUGUUCUCGUCAUUAACAAAACAUGAAGGUGGAGUAAAUGAGACGACACAUAACUUACACAUAACCGCUACUGUUACAGCUACUACUGCUACUAAUACUAUUCCUCUUCUACUACUACUAUUCUACUGCUACUAUUAUUAACAAUAACAACUUCAAAUCAUUGUGUACAAAUAGGCACCCAGAAGAAUUCAUAUAAAUGCAACAUUGAUGAAUAGAAUGUAGUGGUAAUACCUAGUAAACGUGUUCAGUGUGGACAGACCACCGAUCUCUGUCUCGCUCUCUCUCUAACACACACACACACACACACACACACUGUAAAGCUCAGUCACACGUGCACACAUACAUUUAUGAAUAAAUAAGAUGUAAAAAGGAAAAGACUCAUCUCUAUUAAAAAUAGUCACUUUGGAUCUUGAGUCAGUGAAGUGUGUGAUGGACGUCUCCAAUCGACGUGUAAAAACCCGAUCCAUCGGGGGGAAGGACCUGGUGCCCGUUUCUCCCUCCGAAAAAAAAAGUCACCUAUUGGUUUAUUUUGUGAUUCUGCACCAGGCAAGUCAAAACUGAUUUCAUUUGUACAGACUUUUAAACAAACUUGUAACAGGGAAAUGCUGUCUUUGCUUCGCUCCUGAACAUUGUCUUACAGACCAAAAGGACCUGAAGGAAUCUCCGUAUAUUUUUUUGGGGGUAGGACAGAUACAAGUGUCGGACCGUGCCGCCAUUUUGGACAGCUUGUACCCCAGCUUUCAGAAUCAGAUCUUUUACUUGGGUAUUUUUCUUGUGUGAACAACAACAACAAAAAAUAUGUUCAGAUUCAGGGAGGGAGAAAUGCGGAUGGACCAAAGCAUGUUGUGCAACCAUGAAAUGUGUCCCCCUGCCUUACACAUUUUUUAAUCACUUUUUUCCUGUGAGCCCGUCAGGUUCAACUAGUAGCUUUUAUUUUUCUAUUAUUUCAUUUUCUAAUUGUCCACUUCAAAGGAUAAAUCUUCAUGUCACUUUUAUAUUUUUCAUUAUGCAGGAAACCUGGAGAUGUGAAUGGAACUGUUUGUGUGUAACAGGGGAAUGUGUCAUUCUUUUUGACAUAACUGCCAAAUGAAUUAUAUUCAUGAGGAUACCCCAAAGGAACUAUGGUUGAAAUAGCAAUUUUUCGGAAGGACCCAAAUAAGGAUGCAUCUACUUGCUUUUUUUUACGCAGUUCUGGGAAGUGUAUCCUUCAGGAAAGGACUUCAUUGUACAUUAUUAUUAUUUUGGCGUCAUUCUUUGCUUUUUUUAUCUUCACUUCAGAAGAAGCAAUCUGUAAUUCAACUAGUAUCUGAGGGGGAUAGAUGUGACCAAAAGGACACGCUCAUGUUUUGUGUUGCCUUCGUUUGUGUGUGUUUCCGUGUUUGUUGGCGUGUUUGUGUACUUCGUACGCGUCCGUGCGUGUGCCCGUGUCUCUGAUUGUCACCGUGACAACUAUGUGUCCUUCCCCGCCCCCCUCUCACCCUCCCACCUGGUGGUCCAUAAAUUUCAAAACGUCUUGAAAACAAAGUGUGUCUUCUGUUCCAUUCUGUCUUAGAAUAAGCGUUUGUAUGUAGGAGCCAUUAACUGUAGCGAGAAGUGAGGGGGAAGAGAUUGUUGUCCUGGCUGUUCUUUGAUGGCAUUGCCCCUGUCCAUUUCACAAAAGUGUAUACGCUGUGUACUUAUGUUAAUAUAUGUAUAUGUGUGAGAGGGAAUUGCUUGAGCGUCAGGGGAAUAAAUACCUGGAUACUUAUUAGUGAUCGAUAAAAAAACAUCUGAACAACAUCGCCGAGGCUGAGCGCCGACUGCAGGCACAGAUAGAAAGAUGGUGGAGAGAGGAAGAUAAACAGGGAAGGAGAUGCCUCUUACGCACAGUCAGGUGAAGAUACAUGGUGAAGAGAAUGAAGGUUAAGCACAGUUAGAGGAAGAUACACAAGGAUGAGAAUAAAGGUAACACAGUGAGAUGAAUAUAGAUGGGGAAGAGAAUAAAGGUAAUGCACAGUGAGAAGAAGACAGAUGGGGAAGAGAAUAAAGGUUACACACAGUGAGAGGAAGAUCCAUGAGGAAGAGAAUAAAGGUUGCGCACAGUAAGAUGAAGAUAGAUGGGGAAGAGAAUAAAGGUUACACACAGUGAGAGGAAGAUCCAUGAGGAAGAGAAUAAAGGUGACGCACAGUGAGAGGAAGAUAGAUGGGGAAGAGAAUAAAGGUCACGCACAGCGAGAGAAAGAUAAAUGGGGAAGAGAAUAAAGGUUACGCACAGUGAGAGGAAGAUACAUGGGGAAGAGAAUAAAGGUGACGCACAGUGAGAGGAAGAUAAAUGGGGAAGAGAAUAAAGGUAAUGCACAGCGAGUGGAAGAUAAAUGGGGAAGAGAAUAAAGGUAAUGCACAGUGUGAGAAAGGUAGAUGGGGAAGAGGAUAAGUGUGACACAAGGUAUUGGGAAAAACCACUAUUAAAACAAUGCCAGUCACCAUAACCAUCACUAAUGUUUUCUUUGAAGACGGUACCUGGUCACCUUUCCUAAAUCACCAAAAUCACCAUCAGUACUGUCAGUGCUACUGCUGUUGGUACUGCCCUUCCCAGCGCUAAUACUGCCAGCUGUUUCACUGUUUUCAUCACUGAUAACCUUAUUACAGCUGCUACUGCCAUAAUCUCUACUAAUACAUCUACUGCUACCCCUAUGAUCAUCAGGCCUAAUACCUGUGCUACAACCCUGCCACAGUUACUAUGCCACAGUUAAUAACAUCAUUACUAACACUGUAACAUAAUAUAAUAUAGUAAUAUAUACUAACAUACAUCUAAUAUUACUACUACUGAUACUACAUCUAAUGUCAUUACCAAGACUGGUAUUACAUCUCAUGCAACUAGCACUGUUAUUACAUGUAACACCAUUAAUAAUAAUGCCACUUCAUCUAAUAUUACUAAUACUGACACUACAGCUAACAUCACUACUAAUAAUGUGUCACCAUCUACUGUUACAAUGUCUAACAUUACUAAUACUGAUACUACAUCAAAUAUUCCUUAAUGCCACUACAUCUAAUAUCAUUACGAGCACUGGAACUACUUCUAACAUCAUUGCUAUAGCUGGGUGUUUGUCACGGAUUUUGUUAUAUUUUAGUCUUUUUUUAUUUUUUAUUUCCUCAUUCAUGAAUUGUGACCUCUGUAAAUGUUGUAACUGAAAUAAAGGAAAUUUCAUGGUUUUGAUAACA